GACGAACGCUGGCGGCGUGCCUAAUACAUGCAAGUAGGACGCAGUUGCGAACGGGUGAGUAACGCGUAGGUAACUACCUAUUAGAGGGGGAUAACUAUUGGAAACGAUAGCUAAUACCGCCUACUAGUAGAUGGACCUUCGUUGUAUUAGCUAGUAGGUAGGGGAAUGGCCUACCUAGGCAACGAUACAUAGCCGGGCUGGAGGGGUGAUCGGCCACGCCGGGACUGAGACACGGCCCAGACUCCUACGGGAGGCAGCAGUAGGGAAUCUGCGGCAAUUGGGGGAACCCUGACCGAGCAACGGCGCGUGAGUGAAGAAGGUUUUCGGAUCGUAAAGCUAUGUUGUUGAGGAAGCGGUACUUACCCAGAAAGGAACGGCUAACUACGUGCCAGCCGCCGCGGUAAUUC
rnacentral:rRNA from 1 species